rnacentral:rRNA from 1 species
AUUGAACGCUGGCGGCAUGCUUUACACAUGCCAGUCGAACGGUAACAGGCCUUCGGGUGCUGACGAGUGGCGAACGGGUGAGUAAUGCAUCGGAACGUACCCAGAGGUGGGGGAUAACGCAACGAAAGCUGUGCUAAUACCGCAUGUGAUCUGAGGAUGAAAGCGGGGGACCGAGCAGCAAUGUUUGGCCUCGCGCCUUUGGAGCGGCCGAUGUCGGAUUAGCUAGUUGGUGGGGUAAAGGCCUACCAAGGCGACGAUCCGUAGCUGGUCUGAGAGGACGACCAGCCACACUGGGACUGAGACACGGCCCAGACUCCUACGGGAGGCAGCAGUGGGGAAUUUUGGACAAUGGGCGCAAGCCUGAUCCAGCAAUGCCGCGUGCGGGAAGAAGGCCUUCGGGUUGUAAACCGCUUUUGGCAGGAACGAAACGGUGUCCGCUAAUACCGGGCGCUAAUGACGGUACCUGCAGAAUAAGCACCGGCUAACUACGUG